GCGGUUCUUCCUCUGCUCACAGGGCACGGCCGUGGGUGAGCAGGGCAGAGGCGCCCCGGGUGGCACCGGCGGCGAGUCCCCGUGGAACAGCUGCUCAGAGAUGGUGUGGAGUCUCCUCCCUGGGGAUGUUCAGACCUGUUGAGACACAAUCCCGUGCCCUGUGCUCCUGAAACUUGCCAGCAGAGUCCUGUCCCGGUGUGAGGUUGGUGGCAUCACCAGGAACGGGUCAUGGGAUGCAAACCCGGCCGAUGCACCCCGAAAAGUUCAAUGCAGCUGCCUCUGCACUGCCCAACUCCCACACAAACGCUGUCUCAUCAUUUAUUAUCAUUUCCUUCCCCUUUAAAAACCCUCAAAAAAGCCAUAUCGUGGCCCUGGGAUUUCUCUCUAAUAAAAUGUUCUAUUUUUAUUGCUGAAA